rnacentral:rRNA from 1 species
CUCCUACGGGAGGCAGCAGUAGGGAAUCUUCCACAAUGGACGCAAGUCUGAUGGAGCAACGCCGCGUGAGUGAAGAAGGUUUUCGGAUCGUAAAGCUCUGUUGUUGGUGAAGAAGGAUAGAGGUAGUAACUGGCCUUUAUUUGACGGUAAUCAACCAGAAAGUCACGGCUAACUACGUGCCAGCAGCCGCGGUAAUACGUA